CUCAAAGGAAUUGACGGGGGCCCGCACAAGCGGCGGAGCAUGCGGAUUAAUUCGAUGCAACGCGAAGAACCUUACCAAGGCUUGACAUGAACCGGUAAUACCUGGAAACAGGUGCCCCGCUUGCGGUCGGUUUACAGGUGGUGCAUGGUUGUCGUCAGCUCGUGUCGUGAGAUGUUGGGUUAAGUCCCGCAACGAGCGCAACCCUCGUUCUAUGUUGCCAGCGCGUUAUGGCGGGGACUCAUAGGAGACUGCCGGGGUCAACUCGGAGGAAGGUGGGGACGACGUCAAAUCAUCAUGCCCCUUAUGUCUUGGGCUUCACGCAUGCUACAAUGGCCGGUACAAAGGGUUGCGAUACUGUGAGGUGGAGCUAAUCCCAAAAAGCCGGUCUCAGUUCGGAUUGGGGUCUGCAACUCGACCCCAUGAAGUCGGAGUCGCUAGUAAUCGCAGAUCAGCAACGCUGCGGUGAAUACGUUCCCGGGCCUUGUACACACCGCCCGUCAAGUCACGAAAGUUGGUAACACCCGAAGCCGGUGGCCUAACCCUUGUGGGGGGAGCCGUCGAAGGUGGGACCGGCGAUUGGGACUAAGUCGUAACAAGGUAGCCGUACCGGAAGGUGCGGCUGGANCNCCUCCU
rnacentral:rRNA from 1 species